CGGCAUUCUCUUCCAGCCUCAGUCCUAACCAUGAAAGCAGCUGAACAGGCAGGGAGCUGCAGAGGAGAGCUGACAGGAUUGGGAGCAGAAUUUGGAGGAGCACUGGGACAGAGCCAGAAGAGAGUGAAACUGGAGGCAGAGCCAAUUGCAGGAUCCCUCCAGGACAAAGGUCCAGUCAAACAAACUGUAAAAUAUUACUGGAUAGAAUACAACAAUCCUAUAUAAAGCUGGAAGAAGGAGAGGAUACCACUCUAUCAAUGACCCAUCAGAGUCUGCAGUUCCGAGAUCAAGAGGCCAGGAAAACAGCAACCAUCAAGGGUGGCUGCAUCCCUGAGUGUGCUCUGGAAUCUAGUGACAAAGAUUCAACCCAAAGUUAGCCCUCAGGUCAAACAAGCAGGUUUUGCGGUCCACAUUUGGCAUGACAAGUUUCCUUUGCCAAAUUUCUGUGAAUGAGGCUCCUGUAAGAGGCCAGUAAAAAGCCAUGUCAACCCUCAAAUGAAGCUUAAUAUUUUAAUUGUGUCAUUCUUAUAAUCAUGAAGAAAGAAAGAAAGAAAGAAAGAAAGAAAGAAAGAAAGAAAGAAAGAAAGAAAGAAAGAAAGAAGCAACAUACUAAAUUAAAGCACUACCACCAACUGCAAUCCUUCACACACAACUGCUCACAAGGAGUCAGAAGCUAACAAAGGACACAGAUAUCUGUUGCACAAGGAUAAUAAAGAGAUCUAUGUCAGAGUUCUAUGUCCCUCCGCACAGCACAAUGAUUGGAGGAGAAACAUGAGGCCAUUUGAUGAAAUGGUCCUUCGUUGGCCAUUGCCCUCUGCCACUCAAGAGUCCUCUGCCUCCAAAACCACUCUCAUCAGACCUCUCUCUUGAGAUUCAAAAAAAUCACAAGCUAAAAGCAAUGAAUUUUCUGAACUUUUGCUUUUGUCUCAAGCUCCUCACCCCUAAAAAAAGAAAAAGAAAACUAUAAUAAAAAACAUGAUUUUCACCACUAUUAGACCCUGGGUGACAGUCCCACCAAAACACAUUGCAGGUGCCGGCAUUAAUUCAGACUUUACCAAUCCGAUUUUUGGAAAAUAAAGUCAGAUUCAGAUUUUAUCGAAUUUUGCACAGGCCUACCAAAUGACAUUAGAGAAGAGUGAAAUCAGUGGCAUCCACAUAUAGUUUCUUCAGCAGUAGCAACCCAAUGUUAGCUACUGUACUGGAGGUUCAGGGUUCAAACUCUGGGCCAGCAUUGCAACCCCACCAAUGUAACUCCACCCUGUGAGAGAUGUCAGUUACUAUGGGGAGGAGCGUUCUUCCAAUAACAACUUCUACUCCCCAGACAUAACUGAUCCAGGUGUCACUGGUGCUGACCUGGUACUGCAACUUCUGUUCUGGAGCCACAGGAGGUUUCAGAGAAACCUUCCUGCUCCUCGAAGGGAUUGCUUGAGCUUUAAAUAUAGAGUACAGUAAUCACCUGUGGAAAGGGGUUGACAUAGAUCAUAAUGCACUCAUUCAACUCCUUCCCCCUUCCUUCAGCCAGCACAAAUAGAGUCUAGUUAACUAGAACAAGCCCAGCCCUUGGCCAUCUGCAGUUUCCAUAUAGAGCCCCCUCCCUCCACAAGGCCUUAUGCUCAGAGUAAGUCCCCAUAGGAGUGUUAGAUGAUACAUGCGUGACACAUGAAUAGUUUGCUGACCUUUCUUCCUCCUUAAACUAAAAGACUGCAUUGGAGGCUGCAUUUGGGACCCCAUAUAUUGUCUCGCAUGUGUGGAAAUAUAGCUGGGGCAGGAACAGAAAGCAAGGUGCAGCUCUGAUGCUGCUUUUCAGGGUGGAGGGGGGCGGGAGGCAAGAGAUUAUAGCACUUAGCACUUACAUUUAUAUACCGCUCUAUAGCUGGAAGCUCUCUAAGCGGUUUACAAAGAUUUAGCAUAUUGCCCCCCAACAUUCUGGGUACUCAUUUUACCGACCUCGGAAGGAUGGAAGGCUGAGUCAACCUUGAGCCCCUUGGUCAGGAUCGAACUUGCAACCUUCUGGUUACAGGGCGGCAGUUUUACCACUGCGCCACCAGGGGCCCAUAUGCACACAUGUCUCCCACAGAUCUGUCCAGUUUGCACCCUGCUAAGCAAAUAUUGUUACACUGCCUUGGUUGCCCUACUUCUCAGAGAGGUGAGACGUUCCAAACAUUUGCAGCACUUCUUGGAUCCUGGCUUCUCUUGAAGGAGAGAUCACUGGAUACUUGUAGUGCAUUUGUAGUAUUUACACAAAUAUACAUGUUGAGCAUUAGGAAAAAGUAUAACAUUCCUAAAGGUCAGCAGCAGAUUUCAUCAGUUCCCCAGAGGGCUGCACCAAAGGUGCCUCAGCCUUCUGACGGGCUGCCACAUUCCAGCCUCUAAAAUCUCAUCCCCAGCUCUGGGUCCCACAGCAACUUGCUUGUUCUCUUUUACACAGUCCUAACACACACACACCUUGCAGGGGAGGGGAAAGUGGAUAUGGUAAUGCCUAGGGUUGCCAUAUUCUGGCUUUCCAAAUCCGGGUGCCUAAUUUGCAUAUUAUGUAAAUUGGCUUGAAAACCAUUUUUGAGCAGAAUAGUGACUGAACGUUUUGCUCUAUAACUCCGCUUCUACAAGAGCUAGAGCUUAGCAUUUUCUAAAAAUGAAAUCUGAAAUCUGGGUGGGCUAGGCAAUCUGGGUGAGAUGCUUAAAAUUUGGGUGAAACCCAGAAUUCCGGGGGGGGGGGGGGAUGGCAACUCUAGUGAUGCCACUUUUAGUCCUUCCCCACAGGAGGGACGUGUGAGUCUUACAAGUUUUCUAAUGAAGUCUCCCUCCCAGGAGUGAUGCAGAGUCCUUAACAAAGUUGUCAGGAAACUAUUUAAGAAACCUUCAGCUGGACCUCUGACCCAUCAGCUAGUGAUUUGUUUUACAAAUGAAUUUGCAAACCAGAUUUAACAAUCCCAAACUCCCAGUAAUAUAGAUAAGAUUGAGCUGCAAUUCUCUACAUUAAAAUUCUAAAAUUUUAUUCUCUGACUCAACAUCACUCUUCUUAAUGAAGUAUACAUUUCUCUUUUUGUUCUAAAUACACAAUUCCUGUCAUUGCCUUCAGCAUUACAGCCUUGUUGAGGCUAAAAAUAUUAGAGUGGAAGCAGCACAUCAUUUAUCACAAAAGUCAAGCAAGUUGUACAACUCAUUUUACAAAUACCAAUGUGAACACACUGAUGGUAGCUGGCAGAGCAAAGGGAAGAUGUCGGCAUGUUGCACUGCUAGUAGAGUUGCUGGGCUAAUGGAACUAGAAUCAGAAUAUAUAUUGUUAAUAUUAUUGGGUAAGGAUAUUACAGAAAUACACAAAUAGUUUCAGAAGUUAAAAAGAGAGGGAGCUUGGCAUAUUUUUGGUAUGUGAAAGAAACAAACACCAUCUGGAGAAAGGAUAUGGUAAGGGAGCAUCCCUGGUAAAAAAAAAAAAAAAGCUGAGAGGUAGGGAAAUUCAGCAUGGCUGUUCCAGAUGGCAGUGUAUAACCAGGCUAAGGAAAAUGGAAUGUUGGGAAUUCCCUUCCAGUUACAUCUAAUUCGAUGCCAAUUAGAGAACAGUCCCUUUCCUCUUUCUGUAUGAAUUCUGAAUUAACUGAAUUUGCUUGAUGCUAUGUUUAUUGCCAUUUGCCUAUGCAUUCAUCUGUACCAUUUCCUCCUUUUUCUUUUUCGCACUUCCCAAAUCCACUCCCAUAUGAUGGAGUCAUAUGGUAAAUUUCUGUCAAGCUUUCUCAGAAAGAAAAACAAA